GCCAGCGUUGCCUUGGCGGAGCGUAGGCAGAGGCGCACUCUGCAAGCGACUCUGCCCCACUGACUUGGUCAAAGUCGCAUAGAAAAUCUUUGGCAGGGCUGUGAAUAGAAUGAGGCGAUGCUGUCCCAUGGGAGAGAAGAAAGAAGCUUUGAUUCCCUUAAGGAUGCUGAGCUUUUCCCCGUCUUCAGUGAAGAGCCCGUCUCCAAAUGGCAAACUCGCCAUCUGCAGGCCAGCAAGACAACUCACAAGAACUGAGGAACAAAAGAGCCCUACAAGCUCCAAAGCACAUUGCUUAUGAUGGUUUUAGGAUUUAUUCUUUUUUUUUUUUUUUGUGUAUCAUUUUGCAAAAGGAAAUCACCCUUCGAGUGUUAUCCCAAAGGAUGUAGAGUGUCUGUCUCUGGAGCUUGAUCCUAUCCCAGCGGAUUGCUUAAAAAAUCUAAAAACCUUAGACUUGAUGUUUUUUUCUGCAUCAGGCUGCUUCUACCCUUUCUAGCUGUCUCCUCAUUCCUGGUCUCAGCUGCAAGGAGAGAGGGCAGGAGCCCUGCCCUCUUCCCAUUCCAUGCCUUAAC
rnacentral:lncRNA from 14 species